rnacentral:rRNA from 1 species
AUUGAACGCUGGCGGCAGGCCUAACACAUGCAAGUCGAACGGUAGCACAGAGAGCUUGCUCUCGGGUGACGAGUGGCGGACGGGUGAGUAAUGUCUGGGAAACUGCCUGAUGGAGGGGGAUAACUACUGGAAACGGUAGCUAAUACCGCAUAACGUCGCAAGACCAAAGAGGGGGACCUUCGGGCCUCUUGCCAUCAGAUGUGCCCAGAUGGGAUUAGCUAGUAGGUGGGGUAAUGGCUCACCUAGGCGACGAUCCCUAGCUGGUCUGAGAGGAUGACCAGCCACACUGGAACUGAGACACGGUCCAGACUCCUACGGGAGGCAGCAGUGGGGAAUAUUGCACAAUGGGCGCAAGCCUGAUGCAGCCAUGCCGCGUGUAUGAAGAAGGCCUUCGGGUUGUAAAGUACUUUCAGCGGGGAGGAAGGUGUUGAGGUUAAUAACCUCAGCAAUUGACGUUACCCGCAGAAGAAGCACCGGCU